rnacentral:misc_RNA from 1 species
GAUGAAGAACGCAGUGAAAUGCGAUAAGUAAUGCGAAUUGCAGAAUUCCAGUGAGUCAUCGAAUCUUUGAACGCACAUUGCGCCCUUUGGUAUUCCGAAGGGCAUGCCUGUUCGAGCGUCAUUAUCACCCCUCAAGCCCCGUGCUUGGUGUUGGACGGCCGGUCGAGCGAUCGACCCCUCCUAAAGUCAAUGACGGCGGCCUGUGGUUCCCCCGGUACACUGAGCUUUUAACUGAGCACGUAUCGGACAAGGGCACCCGGGACCCGGUCCUCUCCUUUAACUAGGAAACUUCUAAGGUUGACCUCGGAUCAGGUAGGAAUACGCGCUGAACUUAAGCAUAUCAAUAAGCGGAGGA